rnacentral:rRNA from 1 species
UACGAAGGGGGCUAGCGUUGCUCGGAAUCACUGGGCGUAAAGCGCACAUAGGCGGAUUGUUAAGUCAGGGGUGAAAUCCUGGAGCUCAACUCCAGAACUGCCUUUGAUACUGACGAUCUCGAGUCCGGGAGAGGUGAGUGGAACUGCGAGUGUAGAGGUGAAAUUCGUAGAUAUUCGCAAGAACACCAGUGGCGAAGGCGGCUCACUGGCCCGGUACUGACGCUGAGGUGCGAAAGCGUGGGGAGCAAACAGG